GACGAACGCGGGCGGCGUGCUUAACACAUGCAAGUCGAACGGUGAAGGGACCAGCUUGCUGGUUCUGGAUGAGUGGCGAACGGGUGAGUAACACGUGAGUAACCUGCCCCCUUCUUCUGGAUAACCGCAUGAAAGUGUGGCUAAUACGGGAUAUUCUGGGUCUGUCGCAUGGCGGGCCCGGGAAAGAUAUUGCUUCGGUGGGGGAUGGGCUCGCGGCCUAUCAGCUUGUUGGUGGGGUGAUGGCCUACCAAGGCGGUGACGGGUAGCCGGCCUGAGAGGGGGGACGGUCACACUGGGACUGAGACACGGCCCAGACUCCUACGGGAGGCAGCAGUGGGGAAUAUUGCACAAUGGGCGCAAGCCUGAUGCAGCGACGCCGCGUGAGGGAUGGAGGCCUUCGGGUUGUAAACCUCUUUCGCCAGUGAAGCAGGCCUGCUACUUAUGGGUGGGUUGACGGUAGCUGGAUAAGAAGCGCCGGCUCCCUACGUU
rnacentral:rRNA from 1 species